AUUGAACGCUGGCGGCAGGCCUAACACAUGCAAGUCGAACGAGUGGCGGACGGGUGAGUCAUGGUGGGGAAACUGGCUUAUGGAGGGGGAUAACGACGGGACACUGUCGCUAAUACCGCGUACCAUAGGAUGGGCCCAAGUGGGCUUAGGGAGUUGGUGGGGUAAUGGCCUACCAGGCCGACGGUCUCUAGCUGGUCUGAGAGGAUGACCAGCCAAACCGGGACUGAGACACGGCCCGGACUCCUACGGGAGGCAGCAGUGGGGAAUAUUGCGCAAUGGGGGCAAACUGACGCAGCCAUGCCGCGUGAAUGAAGAAGGCAUUCGGGUUGUAAGGUUCUUUCGGUGACGAGGCGUUAAUCACAGAGGAAGCACCGGCUAACUCCGUGCCAGCAGCCGCGGUAAUUC
rnacentral:rRNA from 1 species